UAGUGACCUGAGCAGAAACCAAUUUCAGAUGCUUAACCGACUAAGCCACCCAGGCGCCCCUGAUAUGCCCACGUAUUGAUUUGCUUUUAUAGCAUUUCACUUUUUUAGCUCCUGGUUUAUACUAGCCCUGAAAGAGAGUUAGAAAAGACUUUUUUUUUUUUUUUUUUACAGUCUCAUAAGCUCCUUCAAGGGAUAACUGAUAUGUCAGUAAGACAACUGCAGGCAGGGACCAAAUGGGGUAGAGUAGCUCUGUUAAUAGUGUGAGUGGGACUAGAAUUUAUAGCCACUUCCCCACCCCUAUAAUCAGAUAUGCUCUUUUACAGAAGAUGAGAGGAGUCCUCUACUGAUGUAAUAACCGAACAACACAUCUUCAGAUGAGACUAACUCCUGUUUCCUCACUGAAGUCACUAAGUUGGCCUGCAGCAAUUUCCACUGACUGCAUGACCCGACUUUCUCGAGUGGUGGCACUGUCAACAUUCCCACGGCAGACAAGGAGAUAAGACAACUACAAACUUUGCUAUCCACAUGUGAACUGAAUCAGACAUGCAGUGACCAAUCACCAAUGAUUUUGAGAGAAGAAACAUGUUUAGUCACUGACCAUGACGUUCAUCUUUAUUUAUGUGGUGACUCAUGGAUUGAAGAGCUAGGGGUGAAAUUUGUAUUUUGUACAAUUACAGUUAAUAUACCAUAGUAAUUGAAAUUCGAACCCAGUUUAGGGGAUUGGUGUUAACUAAACCACAGUAACUGAAAUUCGUGCAUGUUGGAACCAUUCAAAGAAAGGAUUGUCUGUAUACGUUUAUACGUUUUGUUAAUCACCUCCUUAAAUUUGUCUGUUACAAAAAUGUACAUAAAUUAAAAUUUAAACUAUUUGAUGUCUUUGAUUCUUAAGUAGUAAAAAGAAUUCUGGGCUAAUUAACAUUACAAUUACUAUAAUUGAUCAAACAACAUAAAUAUGUCUAAAUUAAAAGUAAAAAUUUUAUUUCAGUCUGAUGAAUUGGGUGAUUUUCUUUUCACUUAAGCCAUACGUUUUUGGCUAAGUAUUGCUUACUGUUGGAAUGAGACAGAGUUUAGGUCAAUGAUAUUCCUGUUUUUCAUUUCUGUCGAUAAAAUCCAUGAAAAAAUGUGUUCACAUAGACAAAUUGAUGGGAAUGAGAGUAAUUUUACUAUAGCAGUACCACUCAUUUUGUGGAUUCUUUCCAAGUUAUUUGUCAAAAAUGCUCUUUUACUUUUGCUAAAAACAAGGAAUUUUAAAACUUCUUACUUACAAAAGUAUUUGUUACCCAGUCAUUAGACUGUUAACAUUCUUAUUUUCUAAAAAGCGUACCAAACAAGCUUUGCCAGAUGUUAUCAGCUCCAAAGUGGCUAUAAUAUGUCUGUGCUAGUUGUGAACUAUACAACUCCUAAGGACAGUGUUCAUAUUGUACUCUAUUUGAGGGGAACGAGCUGGAAUUGGGCAGUGCACAACUUACACAGCUGUAUGUGGUGGCCUUAUAAAUAUCCUUACUAUUUUAUACUUAGCAGCAACUUAUUUAAUCCAGUAUGUAAAUGAAAUAUACAAAAGUUCCUAUAUAUAUCCGUCAUUUACACACAUUGCUAAUGACAUCACAAUCAAACAGUUGAUGACAUA